rnacentral:misc_RNA from 1 species
UUAUUGUUGAGUGGGGAAAGCAAAAAUCAUUCCGAUGGAUUGCGUUCUGCACACAAUCAAACAUUGUUAUAAAAAUACAAUAUAAAUUAUGCACAAAGACCAUUGUAUUUGAUGGAAAGAGGCUCAUCUUUUGGCCUCGAAUAAUAUUAUAUAAUUGUGAUUGUGAUCCACAAGGAGAAAAAAAAAAAAAUACAUUCCUUCUAAAAUAAACAAA